AUGACUUAGUGGUUAAGGACUGUACUGCUGUUGCAGAGGACCUGAGUUCGUUUCUCAGU
rnacentral:tRNA from 1 species